rnacentral:rRNA from 1 species
CCUACGGGAGGCAGCAGUGGGGGAUUUUGGACAAUGGGGGGAACCCUGAUCCAGCGACGCCGCGUGAGUGAAGAAGUAUUUCGGUAUGUAAAGCUCUGUCAGCAGGGAAGAAAGAAAUGACGGUACCUGACCCAUAAGCCCAGGCUAACUACGUGCCAUCAGCCGCGGUAAUACGUAGGGGGCAAGCGGUAUACGGAAUUACUGGGUGUAAAGGGAGCGUAGACGGUUAAGUAAGUCUGGAGUGAAAGGCCGGGGCUCAACCCCGGGACUGCUCUGGACACUAUUUAACUUGAGUGCAGGAGAGGUAAGCGGAAUUCCGAGUGUAGCGGUGAAAUGCGUAGAUAUUAGGAGGAACACCAGUGGCGAAGGCGGCUUACUGGACUGUAACUGACGUUGAGGCUCGAAAGCGUGGGGAGCAAACAGGAUUAGAUACCCGAGUAGUC